rnacentral:sRNA from 1 species
AAAAAAAAAGGUACCAGGAGUCAUAUUCUAGGUCCCCCACUCUGGACCCAGCUCUGAGACCCUGCCUCUCUGGCCAGGGCUGUGGUGUCAGUGCUGGGCUCCUGGCUGCAGGACCACCCUCAGGAUUUCCGAGACCCCCCUGCCCACUCGGACCUGGGCAGUGUCCGAACCUUUCUGGGCUGGGCGGCCCCAGGGGGUGCUGAGGCUCAAAAAGCAGAGAAGCUUCUGGAAGAGUUUUUGGAGGAGGCUGAGCGAGAGCAGGAAGAGGAGCUGCCUCAGUUGUUUCUGGCCAGGUGUUGUGGCACAUGCCUAUAGUCACAGCUGCUUAGGAUGCUGAGGUGGGAGGAUCUCUUGACUCCGGGAAAUCAAGGCUGCCAUGAGCUGUGAGCAUGCCCCUGCACUCCAGGUGAUAGAGCUGGGGGAAGGAGGAAUAGUUGUUUCUUCAAAUUGAAAUCCAAAGAUCUACUCAAGGACCUCCCAGGGUUGCCCAAACUUCUGACCCAGACUCUUCA